GACGAACGCUGGCGGCGUGCUUAACACAUGCAAGUCGAACGGAAAGGCCCUGCUUUUGUGGGGUGCUCGAGUGGCGAACGGGUGAGUAACACGUGAGUAACCUGCCCUUGACUUUGGGAUAACUUCAGGAAACUGGGGCUAAUACCGGAUAGGAGCUCCUGCUGCAUGGUGGGGGUUGGAAAGUUUCGGCGGGUGGGGAUGGACUCGCGGCUUAUCAGCUUGUUGGUUGGGUAGUGGCUUACCAAGGCUUUGACGGGUAGCCGGCCUGAGAGGGUGACCGGCCACAUGGGGACUGAGAGACGGCCCAGACGCGUACGGGAGGCAGCAGGGGGGAAUAUUGCACAAUGGGCGGAAGCCUGAUGCAGCAACGCCGCGUGCGGGAUGACGGCCUUCGGGUUGUAAACCGCUUUCGCCUGUGACGAAGCGUGAGUGACGGUAAUGGGUAAAGAAGCACCGGCUAACUACGUG
rnacentral:rRNA from 1 species